ACCUCUGACCUUUUGCAUCUGAUCUCCUAUGUCCAUUAUUUUGAUUUGCUUUAUCUCUACCUCAUCCUCCUCUUCCAUGGCCAUGGCCAUGCUCAUAGCCUCUACCAUGGCCUCGAACUCUACUAUGGCCCUGAUCGCUUGGGUUUCCAUCAUCUUUUGAGCUUUCCUAUGCUUCUUUUAAUGAGAUCUUCAUUUGAAGAGCAUGUUCCACUGCUUCCUGUUUCUUCUUGUUGAUGCGAUGCUCGUGGGCUUACAAUGAUCUCAUAAGCUCAUCCACUGAUAUCUUCUCUAAAUUUUUUGAUUCUUUAAUGGUUGCAACAGCAUAAUCAAAUUUAUCAUCUAACAACCAUAAAAUUCUCCUCGCAGCAUUUGAAGAUGAAUUUUUUUCACCUGUCAACACCUUUGAAGGUCUUCUAAAGAAUCUCCCAUGCUUCCUUAGAGGUUGUUGUGGUGAAGAUCUUCUUGAAAUUAGCUUCAUCUACACCUUGAU
rnacentral:lncRNA from 1 species